CUUCACCGAGCCCAGCCACAGCGGCUGGUCGGCGGGGCGGCCCUGGCCGUACGUGGCGAGCAGUGCCUGCGCCUC
rnacentral:antisense_RNA from 1 species